rnacentral:tRNA from 1 species
AGUCUUAUAGUCAAGAAAAUGAUAUAAAAUUGCAAAUUUUAAGGGGUAAAAUAUACUAAGGCUU